AGACAGUGGCAGAUGGGGUAAGAUUUCCCAGGGGUGUGUGUCUGCAUUAUUGUUUUCUUUAAGAGUUUUAGGUCUUCUGCUGAAACUUGUCUCUGUCCCUAUGGUUUAAUGAAGUCUGUUGCUGGAUCUGAUCAGGAAUCAAUUUUCAGGUCCAAACCUUUGAGGCCUGAUGUCCUAGAAAGUCAGGGAUCCCAUACAGUUUUGGGCCACACAAGAGCAGUGCCUGCAGCUCUCACGUCCCAUCCUCCUCACACCUGCCCAUCCUGAGAGGGUGCCGAGGCCAAGACAAUCCUGAAAAGAGUGGAGGUUUCUCACCUGGACCUGCAGCCACAGUUUCUCUUUGAGAUGAUGCUCGCUGUGGUGGAACAUCUUUUGGGAGCCACUCCACAGAGCAAGCUGCUGUACUAUUCCUAGAAAAUGUAUCUCAAUUUCAAAGGGAAAAUGGAGGUUUUAUGGAAACAGCUGAUCAGCUGUCAUGCAGCAGGUGGUUUGUGUGAAGCCUGCCCAGCUCCCCAGCUUGGAGGACACCUGAACUGCAAUCUGGCUGCUGGUCCUGGAAAAGCCAAUGCAGCCUCACAGCCUGUGCCUCUGUUCCAUCAGCUGCAUCCCAAACUCUGACUAUAAUAGAAGUAUUUUGCUGUUUAUCAUCCAAUAAAUGCUUACUGGCUUGUAGUUAGGCUCACUCAUAAGAGUCCAGCCAGCGUGCCAACAGUUAUUUUUAGCUGCCCAAAUUCCAUUUCCCUGUGUUAUUUCCUGCAACCAGACUGACACAUUCCCAUUUUGAUAGCCUUGCUGUUGGUCCCUGUGCUUGCUGACAAAUGAGCUCAUGCCUUUAUUGUUUACCAAAAGGAUGUUUUUGAGGAUUACUGACCUGGAUUUUUAAAUCUCUCAAGUGUAUGCCAGCAUGAAAUUA